rnacentral:rRNA from 1 species
GUGGGGAAUCUUAGACAAUGGGGGAAACCCUGAUCUAGCCAUGCCGCGUGAGCGAUGAAGGCCUUAGGGUUGUAAAGCUCUUUCAGCUGGGAAGAUAAUGACGGUACCAGCAGAAGAAGCCCCGGCUAACUCCGUGCCAGCAGCCGCGGUAAUACGGAGGGGGCUAGCGUUGUUCGGAAUUACUGGGCGUAAAGCGCACGUAGGCGGAUCAGAAAGUCAGAGGUGAAAUCCCAGGGCUCAACCUUGGAACUGCCUUUGAAACUCCUGAUCUUGAGGUCGAGAGAGGUGAGUGGAAUUCCGAGUGUAGAGGUGAAAUUCGUAGAUAUUCGGAGGAACACCAGUGGCGAAGGCGGCUCACUGGCUCGAUACUGACGCUGAGGUGCGAAAGCGUGGGGAGCAAACAGGAUUAGAUACCCCUGUAGUCC